rnacentral:rRNA from 1 species
GUUCAAAGUCGUGAGAAUCCAAUUUUCUGCCACCGAAUACAUUAGCAUGGGAUAAUGGAAUAGGACCCUGUCCUCCUAUUUUCAGUUGGUUUUGGCAGCGCGAGGACUAGGGUAAUGAUUAAUAGGGAUAGUUGGGGGCAUUAAUAUUUAAUUGUCAGAGGUGAAAUUCUUGGAUUUAUGAAAGAUUAACUUCUGCGAAAGCAUCUGCCAAGGAUGUUUUCAUUAAUCAAGAACGAAAGUUAGGGGAUCGAAGACGAUCAGAUACCGUCGUAGUCUUAACCAUAAACGAUGCCGACCAGCGAUUAGGAGACGUUGAAUACAAAACACCACCAUCGGUUGCGCGGUCGUCCUUGGCGUCUCGGUUUCGGCCGGGGCGCGGGGAUGGCUUAGCCCGGUGGCACCGGUGAAUGACUCCCCUAGCAGCUUGUGAGAAAU